rnacentral:rRNA from 1 species
ACGGGUGAGUAACGCGUGGGUAACCUGCCUCAUACAGGGGGAUAACAGUUGGAAACGGCUGCUAAAACCGCAUAAGCAUACAUUGUCGCAUGACAGAGUGUGAAAAUAUUUAUAGGUAUGAGAUGGGCCCGCGUCUGAUUAGCUAGUUGGUAAGGUAACGGCUUACCAAGGCGACGAUCAGUAGCCGGCUUGAGAGAGUGACCGGCCACAUUGGGACUGAGACACGGCCCAAACUCCUACGGGAGGCAGCAGUGGGGAAUAUUGCACAAUGGGGGAAACCCUGAUGCAGCGACGCCGCGUGAGUGAAGAAGUAUUUCGGUAUGUAAAGCUCUAUCAGCAGGGAAGAAAAUGACGGUACCUGACUAAGAAGCCCCGGCUAACUACGUGCCAGCAGCCGCGGUAAUACGUAGGGGGCAAGCGUUAUCCGGAUUUACUGGGUGUAAAGGGAGCGUAGGUGGUUCGGUAAGUCAGAUGUGAAAGCCCGGGGCUCAACCCCGGGACUGCAUUUGAAACUAUCGUACUAGAGUGCAGGAGAGGUAAGUGGAAUUCCUAGU